rnacentral:snoRNA from 1 species
GGCCUCUGGUGCUUAUGGCAAGCAGUGUUCUGAGACUUACUGCAAAGAACAAGGAGAUAGAGUAAACCUAACCCCAGCAACCUCCACCCAGGGCCUGUGCCUGGCCAGAAACAUGAAUAGGGGACAAGA